UUUUGUUUCGGCAACCAGCACCGCCGCCUCCUCUCCAACCUCCACUAGGGCACCCGCGCCGCCGCCGCUCGACACUCGACGCUCGCCAUGUCGGACUCCGACGAAUACGUGGAUUUGCCCGUCUCGGACGAGGAGGAGGAAGAUGAUUGGGAGGAUGGAGAGGAGGCGGACGAGGAAGAGGACGUGAAGGGAAGCACUAAGAAGAAGGCCAAGCAGCACGUGGACCAACUCAAGAGGCUGCAGGAAAAGGAUCCUGAAUUCUUUAAAUAUCUAGAAGAGUGUGAUCAAGAUCUCCUGGGCUUCAAUGAAGAUGACAUCGAUGAUGACCAAGAAAGUGAUGAGGAACCUAGGUCUAUCCCUAAGGAGGAACCAAAAGAAAGUGUUAAACCUAUUACGAUGGAAAUGGUUGAUUCCUGGUGCGAUGGUGCAGAAGAUGGGAAGAUAGGUUCUAUCCGGUCUAUUCUGCAAGCCUUCAGGAGAGCCUGCCAUUAUGGUGAGGACACUGCGGACAAUUCAGCACCAAAAUUCAGUGUCAUGUCUGGUAGUGUACUGGAUAAAGUCAUGCACUUCGUUUUGAAGAACAUGGAUAACAUUCUUCGCCAAUUACUCCAUGCCCCUAGCUCUGGAGGGAGGAAAGAGAAAAUCAAUGAGCUGAUGGUGACCACUCCAUGGAAGAGGCAUGGUAAUCUAAUGAGGGUAUAUCUUGCCAAUGCACUCCAUAUGAUAACUGAGAUGACUGAUGAGCAAAUGAUAGCAUUUACUAUUCACCGUGUCAGAGCAUCAGCUGUUUUUCUGGCAGCCUUCCCUUCUCUCCUGAGGAAGUAUGUUAAGGCCCUGUUGCAUAGCUGGGCUAGAGGUCGUGGUGCUAUGCCUCUUGUUUCGUUUUUGUUCCUUCGAGAUUUGUGUAUUCAAGUAGGUCCGGAUUGCCUUGACGCAUGCCUCAAGGGUAUCUACAAGGCUUAUUUGGUAAACUGCAAAUUGUCCAAGUCUAUUAGCGGUUCAAAGCUGCAGCACAUUCAAUUUCUUGGGAAUUGUGUCAAAGAAUUGUAUAGUGUGGACCCUAAAAGUGCUUAUCAACAUGCUUUUGUUUUCAUUCGUCAACUGGCAGUUAUCCUGAGAGGUGCCCUUACUGAAAGAGGACCAAAGACAUCAAAGGAUAAAAAACAGAAAGAAAGAAACAAACCAACAAACAAACAGCUGGAGAAAUCAUACCAAAAAGUGUAUGAUUGGCAAUAUAUAUUCUGCCUCGAGCUUUGGACAAGUGUUGUAUGUGGAUGUAGUUCACAUGAAGAUUUCCGUCCUUUGGCUUAUCCAUUAACCCAGAUAAUUCAUGGAGUAGCGUGUCUGGUGCCAAGUGCACGCUACUUCCCUGUACGCAUUAGAUGUGUAAAAAUGCUUAAUUGCAUUGCUCAAGCCACCGGUACCUUUAUUCCGGUGUCGUCCCUGCUGCUUGAUAUGUUAGAAAUGAAAGAACUUAGAGGGCGUCCAGAUGGUGGUGUCGGCAAAGCAGUGAAUCUGAUCAAUGUUAAACAGGUUGAUAAGAAAAUAGUGAAGACGCGUGCCUUUCAGGAAGCUUGCAUUUACUCAGUGGUUGAUGAGCUUGCUAAGCACUUGGCCCAGUGGAGCUACUCUGUUGCCUUCUUCGAAAUGUCAUUUUUACCACUAGUUCAACUUCGGAACUUUUGCAAAACCAUCAAGGCUGAGAGAUUUCGAAAAGAGAUGAAGGAUCUUAUUCAUCAGGUAGAGGCAAAUGUGGAGUUCAUAAGCCCAAAGCGUGCAGGGAUUACAUUUUCUCCCAAUGAUGCAGCUGUAGAUUCAUUUCUACAGGUUGAGAAGGAAGAACAGUCAAGUCCUCUUUCAAGAUAUGUUGCUACUCUACAUCAGAGAGCACAGAACAGAAUCGAUGCUAUGGAUGAGACAAGCGUUAUUGUGGGGGCUGAGUCCUCUACCUUUUCACGGAGGCUAUCAGAGGUGCAGAAGCAACAGGAUGAUAAUGAAGAAACUAUGGCUUUCAGUAAGAAUUUGUUGGCUGAAAAGAAGAAGACUGAAACUGCAAAGAAGAAGAACAAGAAACGAGCCCGUGACGAUGAUGAUUUGCCUACCGAUGAGGAUGUGGUUGAGGAUUUGAUCUUGAGUUCAGAUGAGGAAGAGGAAGACAAGGACAAUGAUCUUGAAUCAGACGAGGAUGGAUCUGCUCCUGUUGAAGAUGACAGCGAUGAAGACUUUGUAGACCCAGACAGCGCGUGGAAGAAGCAGAAGAAGGAGAAACUGAAGAAGCGGAGCAAGUACCAACCAUCAAACAAGGUGUCCUCGAAAACAAAAAGGAAACCCCAUCCUAAGAAGAAAACAAAGCAUUAAUCAAGCUAGAUAGGACUCGGCAAAGACUAUUGAUGACAGUGGAAUCAUGAGAAACAUCCCCCUGUCACUGAAAUUUUUGUUUAGUUUGGUCUGAUUCUGUGUUGCGCCAACUUCGAAGUACUUUCUAGCCAUGUUCACCUGGAACUUUUAGAGUAGACCACGAGAACUGGCAUUAUUGAUCAGGAAAGAAAUCUGUAGCAUGUAAUGAAUCCAGUUUUACUUGGAAAUGAUGCCAGUCUUCAAUUCGUGGAUAUAUCUUCAGCCAAGGCGUGACUGUAACUGUUACUUUCAGUACUCGCUGCAAGCAACCGCGUGCAUGUAGUCAUCAUGAAGCUGCACU